rnacentral:rRNA from 1 species
AACAAACGCUGGCGGCGUGCCUAAUACAUGCAAGUCGAACGGGGAAAGUUCUUCGGAAUGAGUACUAGUGGCGUACGGGUGAGCAACACGUGGAUAAUCUUCCUUCAGGUGGGGAAUAACGAGUCGAAAGAUUCGCUAAUACCGCAUAAGACCACAGUAACUUUGGUUACAGGGGUUAAAGACUUCGGUCGCCUUUAGAUGAGUCUGCGUCCGAUUAGCUAGUUGGUGAGGUAAUGGCUCACCAAGGCGACGAUCGGUAACUGGUCUGAGAGGACGGCCAGUCACACUGGGACUGAGACACGGCCCAGACUCCUACGGGAGGCAGCAGUAGGGAAUUUUGCACAAUGGAGGAAACUCUGAUGCAGCGACGCCGCGUGAGUGAUGAAGGCCUUCGGGUCGUAAAGCUCUGUUCUCAGGGAAUAAAAAAAUGAAGGUACCUGAGGAGAAAGGACCGGCUAACUUCGUGCCAGCAGCCGCGGUAAU